CAAUAGCGUAUAUUAAAGUUGCUGCGGUUAAAAAGCUCGUAGUUGAACAUCAACCAAGAGUGAUGAGUUCAGAUUCAGACUUGACACUCAAUCAUCCUUGGCAACACCGUGGCGAAUGCAUCUGCGCUCUCAUGCGUUGGGCACUCUCUGCGAUCUUUACUUCGAGGAAAUUGGAGUGCUUCAAGCAGGCCAAAGCUUGCACAUACUAGCAUGGAAUAAUUCUACUAUGCCUCAGUUCUCUUUUGCUGGCUUUGAAAUCUGAGGAAAAGACCGAUAGGGACAGUUGGGGCGACUCGUAUUCGACGGUUAGAGGUGAAAUUACUUGUAAUUCGUUGUAGGCCGGUCGUACUGCGAAGGCAUUUGUCCAAGGAUGUUUUCUAUUGAUCAAGAACGAAAGUU
rnacentral:rRNA from 1 species